rnacentral:rRNA from 1 species
UGCCAGCCGCCGCGGUAAUACGGAGGGUGCAAGCGUUAAUCGGAAUCACUGGGCGUAAAGCGCGCGUAGGCGGCUUGAUAAGUCAGAUGUGAAAGCCCCGGGCUUAACCUGGGAAUUGCAUUUGAUACUGUCUGGCUAGAGUAUGGUAGAGGGGGGUGGAAUUCCAGGUGUAGCGGUGAAAUGCGUAGAUAUCUGGAGGAACAUCAGUGGCGAAGGCGACCCCCUGGACCAAUACUGACGCUGAGGUGCGAAAGCGUGGGGAGCAAACAGGAUUAGAUA